rnacentral:rRNA from 1 species
GAUGAACGCUGGCGGCGUGCCUAAUACAUGCAAGUCGAGCGAACAGACGAGGAGCUUGCUCCUCUGACGUUAGCGGCGGACGGGUGAGUAACACGUGGAUAACCUACCUAUAAGACUGGGAUAACUUCGGGAAACCGGAGCUAAUACCGGAUAACAUGUUGAACCGCAUGGUUCAACAGUGAAAGACGGUCUUGCUGUCACUUAUAGAUGGAUCCGCGCCGCAUUAGCUAGUUGGUAAGGUAACGGCUUACCAAGGCAACGAUGCGUAGCCGACCUGAGAGGGUGAUCGGCCACACUGGAACUGGGCCACGGUCCAGACUCCUACGGGAGGCAGCAGUAGGGAAUCUUCCGCAAUGGGCGAAAGCCUGACGGAGCAACGCCGCGUGAGUGAAGAAGGUCUUCGGAUCGUAAAACUCUGUUAUUAGGGAAGAACAAAUGUGUAAGUAACUAUGCACGUCUUGACGGUAACUAAUCAGAAAGCCACGGCUAACUACGUG